rnacentral:lncRNA from 1 species
GCAGGUACAAGCUUGGAGUAGACACCGACAGGCCGGGCUUCCUCCAAUCUACACCUCCACUCUAUCUCUCUCAAUCUAGUAGAAACUAGAAGAUCUAUUUCUACCAUACAUUGGUUGCUAAGCCUAAAAAGAAAUAUUAAUUAGAGAAGAGGUUUUCCUUCGAGGGCACCCCUCAAUCUCUAUGAUAAUUUCUUCAUGUCUUCUCCAGGGGCCAAGGGGGUCUCCUUAUAUAGUCCUCCCCUUCUAUGCGUUUUUGGGUCGAUAGGCGAGGUGGUACUAUUUUUCUUGAUCCAAUAGGUCGGUGGAGUAUCCCGAGCGAAGAGAGUCCUGAUCUGGCUCCAGCACGGGGCGGGCGCCCAGGUCCUCAGGGCGGGCGCCCUGGGCCUGGCCCCGUUUCGCCUCCGCUUCGGUCUCGUGGCUUCUGGAGUCUUCUAGAUGGUGUAAAAUCGCGCGGUGCGUUGAUAUCUCUAUGUAAUACUGACAUGUGGGCCUUUCUUCCUUAUUUCCUGAUAACCCCCUGCAGAAAUAGACAAACACCAAAACUCGUGGAAUUCUGUGAGAUAAAACCCUAAGUCUAGAUGUUGAUUUCAUUUGGAUCCUUUUCUUUGUUUAUUUAUUAAUUAAAUUUGAUACUUAAGGACUGUCAACAAACUCCCCCAAGCUUACCUCUUGCUCGUCCCUGAGCAAGGAUAGACUCAACAAUGGAUUAGAAGUUGUUGCAAUAUCUUUAAAAAUUGACGUUACACAUGCUUUUUAAAUAAGAUCUCAUCUCUGAGUUAGAGUAAACUGUCAAGACUUAAAACUUACUUUACCUUCACCAUGGGACUUGUAACCGUCACUUUUGUCUUGAGAGGUUAAAAGAUAGAACAGUCUAGCCAAGUGCCAUGUCUCUUAUUCUUGAUCAGCUAUAGCUCUGGGUUUUUUUUUUUGCAGAUUUUCAAAUAAAACUCAGAGAUUCCUUGUAUAUCUCUCUUUUGUGGUAUUUCUGGAUCCUUACCAAGGCAUUGAUGGUAUAUGCCUUCUCUCAAGAUAUGUGGUAUUUAUGGUAUAAGGCAAAGUGAUAUUGCCUUCUCUCUCACCCUACUCUAAUAAGGCUUGAUAUCGGGAGCUCAUAGGUGGGAGACGGUUAAUACAUACUUACAAGACAUUUAUUGCAUAGUCAAGCCAUGGAUCCAGAGAAACAAAUCAAUAAGCCAAAUCAAGAUGUGCAUGUGUGGCGAAUGAAUGGUGUAUGGUGAUGAUGGUAAUAGCAAUGGUGAAAGUCUAAUUCUACUUUUGCUCUUUUGAGGGGAUACAUACCUUCCUUGCUUUUUGAAACUUUAUGAGAUGCUCUUCUUUUUCUUUCCUCUCAGGUGGGUAUCUUGUACCCCUAAUUCUACUGUCGGACACUUGUCCAUUUUUACGUCUCGUCUCACUUUUUUCUUUCUUUCGAGGUUCCGGGUACUUGCCCCUUUUUAUUUCCUCGUUUAUAUAUUUUUUUUCUCUUUUCUUUCUCUUUUUUUUCUUUUUUUUUCGGAGCACUCAUCUCUUGAGAUAAUAUAGCAAGUGGUAGUAUCCAAAAUAUUUGGAGCAUUUAUUUCACAGGGAAUAACAGGGAUAGGAAAAUGUUUUUGACUAUUCUCUCCCGGAUUAGGAGUAGAAUAUUUUUACGUGAUUCUGGAGAUGGAAGGAUGGAUAUAUGUGGAUGGUACUUCCGGAGUAGAAGUAGCAUAUAUGAGUGAACGUGCAAGUGAAUCUUGAUUUAACCACAUGACAAGCUCCUAAGGGUCUACACAGCUUGACCACACUCAAUGCUCAUAAGCAGUAAAUAGUAAUUGUGUGGCUCAAAGUCUAGCAAGCAUGUAUAUAUGAAUGUGGUAGGAAUUUAAACUCUCAUCAUACAGGAACUCAUCAUGCAACUUUUUAAAGAUUUUCAAAGAUAAAAUUCUCCAGAAUUCUAGCAUCUCUAGGAACAGAUAAACAGCAGCUCAACCUUCCCAUAUCGUAUCCGUUAACAACUUAGACUUCAGAUCAAGUUUUCAUCCCACAAGUUUAGGUCUAGAGCAAGAUUUAAAUUAUAACAGUUAUGUCUAAACUUGAGAGAGAACUUAAAAUGUGCAAAUUAGGCAGAGCAACUAUUCAUCAUAUCCAUGCUAGAGUUUUAUUAUUAAGAUGCAGAUUAGCAUAGCCACUUUAUUUAUUUAUACACUAAGCAAAAUAUAUAUAUAUAUAUAUAUAUAUAUAAGCACAAAAUCUUUAUUUGGUUUUUUCGUAGUUAUGUAUAUUUAUAUUCUAAUAUAAUAUAAGUAUAAAGAUAGGUAGAAAUACUUAGCGAGAUAAAUGGGGGUGCUCUCCCCCAAUCUGAAUUUUGACGUAAUUUCUCCUGAUGUAGCUAGCAGGUGGCAGAGGUGUAUUUGAAAGUCAGCAGCAUUCUGACAGCGAUUAGAAUGUCCUCCGUCUGCUAGUCUUCUUGAUUCUUAAAUUCUGUGGAGCUCAAAUAGACAACAAAGCUUGUGGAACUAAUUAAGUGUUAUCAUAAAUAUCUAGCCUUCAUCAUGUUGAGCUUACUUAAUAAAUGUUAUUUAUUUAGCAGGAUCAUACACUUAUUAUUAUUAUAUAUAUAUAUAUUUUAUAUAUUUUUAUUGUAAGAUAAAAACUUAUUUAUUUUAUUUUUAUGCCACCAUAGUGAAUGUACUUAUGGGUUUUAUGCCAUGAGCAUACUCACAUGGGGCUUACUAUUUUUUAACAUUUUUAUUUUCUUUUCAAGAUAGCAUGAACCUGAUUAACUAAGCAAAUUAUAAUUGAAUAAUUGAAAGGAAAGGGUAACUACCAAGUUUACCUCUUGGCAAGGCAUUCGGUAUUUUUAUGUCCUCCGAACGGGACUCUCUGUUUUCUCAGUCGUCCUGGGAUUCGCUAGGUGGCGUAGUCGGUGAUUCCGGCGGCGCCUCUCUUCGUGUAUAACUAUCUUCUCCCUCCACACCUGACUCGGUGCUACGGUCUCCUCAGGACAGUUCUGUUCAAGCUGUAUGUCUUCAGUCCUUAUCACUUUUCCUUCGUAGUCUACCCAUCCGUUCUUGAUGAUUUGCCUCCUCUUGGUUGCGGUUGCGUCGUCUUCUUGUCCUGACCUGCUUAGAGUCUUCAACUAUAUAGUUAUGGUCAGUAAAAUAGUUGCGUACCUUCUCAGAGGGGAAGUACAUGUGGACUUCUCCGGUUCCAAUGUAGAUGAUUGCUUUGAUAGUGUUGAGGAACGGUCUUCCAAGGAUGGUGGGUGGAUCAUAUUCGUCUUCUCCCAUGUCAAUGACCUGAAAAUCAUCUGGAGCUGAAUAUAUUGGUUGUAGGGGCAUGGUUCCAUGCAGGAGCUGAUAAGUGACUGCGGUCAUUAUGUUGUCGUUAGAUCCGAUGUCAUAGAGUGUUUUCUGAAAAGAGUAUCCAUUGAUUGCGCACUCGAUGCUUGGAACACCAGGGUCGUCAUUCUUGAUCAAGAAAGGUGACCUGAGUCGACGAUGUUGACCUCUUCCGACAAGGAUCCAAUGUUUUAAGUCUUCUGAACAAGACUUUCCACCAUCUUCAUCCUUUAGGUGCAUCAUUUAAUUAGGUGUGGACCUUGACGUCUGCACCUCUUGAUACGGUGUUACCCAUGUUCUUCUUUGCCCAGUAGUUCGAAGUAUGGUGUUGGCAAUAUCCUGCUCAGUGUGUUUGUGCUCAUAGAUCCAGGUCCUUCACUUGGUGGAGUCUGGGAGUUGUAAAACUCCUCCAUGUUUUCCUUGAAGUGUACCUGUUCAUAGAGACAAGGCAGAGAUCAAGUGCAUGGGCUCUGUUGGUGGAAAACACCAAUAGAACCAAAAGUGUAUUUGUUUUUCUCUAACCUUAAGCAUGGUGAGCAAGACAAAGUUGAUGGAUAAUAAGAUCAUGAGUGUAGUAUUUGAAACAUUUGUCAGAUCAGAUGGCUCAACCUAAUGGAAAGAUAAUCUAUUGUUUAUAUCUUCCAAAUAUUGAAUGUGCAACAUAUUAGCUUAUAUGUUUAGGAGCGUGGGAUCACGAAGGUAGUACUAAGAACAAAGAUUAAAGGACUAAACAUGUUGAAUUAAUUGAGUUAGUUAUCUGGAGUUAUAAAUCAUACAUGUUUGUCUCUUUAUUUAUGUGAAUGCUAGAACCAAGGAGAAGCUUAUAAAAGCGAUAGUCAAGUACCUUAAGGUGUUACCUUACUUAAAGAGUGACGGUACAGUAUCACCUUGUAGAAGCUUUCCUUUCUUAGCGGUUGUGCAUCGUGUUCGUGGCACCCUCCAUGAAUCAUCUCUUAUGAGCCAGGUCUUUCUUGUGCAAAUUGUUAAACUUCAUGUGUCACUUUCUUUAUCUCCAAUGCGAGUUUAUCUCAGGACUUCCCAGGUUGAUAUUGAAAGUUUUCCUGCAGGGGUUAGUCCAACAAAAUAUCCCAUAUCUACUAUAGCAUACUAUAGGCUUAAAAAUCAACCUAGACACCAUGUCUAAUUUGAUUUAGAAGGGCAUUUUAACCUAAGCACCAUGCUUAAUUUAAAAUCCCUUGGAAGUAAGAUCAUCAUUCCUAAACUAAGCACCAUGCUUAAUUAAGAGAUAAAUGAAACUAUUCCAAACCUAGACAUAUACUAAAGCAAAUAAAGGUAGCAUGAGAGCAUUUAUAGAGAUCUACUUAAGUGAAGAUGAAGUAGUGUAAUUAGUAUUUAACAAAUUGAGCAUGUCUCAAAGGUAAGGACAAUCAACGUAGCAACAUGGCAAAAGAUGUUUUUAUGUAAAGUACUCCCCCAAGCUUGAAUUUUACAAAAUUCAAGUUUGGAUGUAUUUAAUUCAAUGUUGUGUGAUGGUUGGUUGGACAUACCCUGUGCUUGUCAUUCAUCCGAUCUUCUUGCUCCAAUCCUGGAAAGGUUAGUGACAAGAAUACCCGAAGGAAUAUUUCUACAAUUAUCUUUAUAUGCUCAAUACACAAAGCAAUGUUGCAAAUAAUUAGAAGUUCAUGUUGUGAUCUGAUAGGUGCUUGUUUUAGGACACUAAGCUUGUUCUUGGGAAACCAUCAAGUUAUGUUGGUGAAGUGGUUUCCCCUCCAACACCUACCUAUAUCAAGAUCAACUUAACGAGAUCUGCAAUAUUUAUUAUAGACAUAUGCAUCGACAACCGUUCUUUUAAAGUUUUUAUAAAUGAAGAGGAAGAGGGGGUUGGAGAUCUCAAAUGUGGUAAGGAGAGAUGUUUUAUAUGAGCAAGGACUGGGUGAGGUAUUUAUGAAAUAACUUCCAUGCUCACUGUUGUUUCUCUCAUUCUUAAACUCCAAGGAUGAUUCUUCAUGAAUGCUUAAAAUUCCUCUAGGAUUGUCUCUCAAGUUUGUUUUAUCUAUCCAUUCAAUGGUGAUAGCACAUGGAUUUUUAAUGCCCUCUAGCAAUUGAUGUUGCUCUUCUCGAUCCUCCUUCUUAUGCAUGGGAUGUCUAGAGAGAUUCAUAGGAUUAUCGGGAGGUUCAAGAGAAAAAGCAUAGUAGAAAUUAUUAAGCUCAAGGAUGGGUUGGAUAGCCGAAUUAUGGGAUUGAAAUGUUUGGAAAUUGGCUAUUAAAACUUCCUCUCCUUGUAUGGGAGAUGAUUCCUUCUCUAUCUCUAAGAUUUUUCUAUGAAGACUAGUGCAAGAAGGAUGUCUACGAAUGAAGACAUACCUUCCUUUACUAAUAGAUAAAGAAAGAAAGACUCUACCAAAGGUUAUAUGAUUAAGACCAAUGUGAAAAUAUCUAGGAAAAACAUGGUCUUGUAGGGCUAGGUCUAAACCAGAAUUUAUAGAAAGAUUAAAAGAUUCCCUAGGUGUAGCUAAAAGUGCAUUAUCUUUUUGAUUAAAAGAUAGGACCUCAGCUAUAGAAAAGGGUUGGUUUUGACCUAUUGCAAUCAACUCCGGACACAGAUCAUAAUUAGGGGCAGGACGUGUUGACUCCCAUGGUCUAUGGCUGGUCUCCGAAGGUGCAAAGAAUUUAAUAAUAGGUAUGGAAUUUGAGUUAUCCAUAAAGAUAAAAAGAUAAAGAUAAAAGAAUAAAAGUAUAAAAGUAUAAAACAAGAUAAUAGCAAGACUCAAAGUUAUCUCAGCAAACCGUCUUUCUCCCUGGCAACGGCGCCAGAAAUGCUUGUUGAUAUUUGGUAACGCAAUAAGGAAAUGAUCCGCAAGCGCACGGAUAUCGGUGAGCAUUUCACCCGGGAGAUUAUCCAGAGUUAUCGUAUUUAUAUUUUUACCACUGGGAGAAAGGGUGCAUCUGACUAACCAAAUCUAUUGCUACUAUCCCUUUAGGCUACAAAGAAUGUCUCUCGAUGUGAGUGAUAAAUAGAGAAGACUGCAACCGUAGUCUCCUUCUAACCUUGGUAAGGAUGAUCUACUGUUCUAAUGGGGAGGCUAACGGAAUCUAGACACCACAAAGGAUGUUCAACCCGCACCUAUAAACCCUAUCCUUCCUGCUAACGAGAUGUGAUCUACAAAGGUAACUCGGAAUUGUCACGUUCCUCACUACUACCACGGUCCAGCUAGUCAGGGAAUAUCUAUGAGUACCCCAGCCUAAACACCACGUUUACGCCAGCAAUGAUUACUCUAAACUCUACGCGAAGAGAUUAAAGUAAACUCAUAAACCAUAAGAACAAUAAAACAAGAACUUACUAGAAUUUAGAAGUCGAAAUACUGAAGAAUCCUAGGAGCAAGCUUCGGGUUAGGAGAACUUGAUCCCGCAGGUACAAGCUUGGAGUAGACACCGACAGGCCGGGCUUCCUCCAAUCUACACCUCCACUCUAUCUCUCUCAAUCUAGUAGAAACUAGAAGAUCUAUUUCUACCUUACAUUGGUUGCUAAGCCUAAAAAGAAAUAUUAAUUAGAGAAGAGGUUUUCCUUCGAGGGCACCCCUCAAUCUCUAUGAUAAUUUCUUCAUGUCUUCUCCAGGAGCCAAGGGGGUCUCCUUAUAUAGUCCUCCCCUUCUAUGCGUUUUUGGGUCGAUAGGCGAGGUGGUACUAUUUUUCUUGAUCCAAUAGGUCGGUGGAGUAUCCCGAGCGAAGAGAGUCCUGAUCUGGCUCCAGCAGGGGGCGGGCGCCCAGGUCCUCAGGGCGGGCGCCCUGGGCCUGGCCCCGUUUCGCCUCCGCUUCGGUCUCGUGGCUUCUGGAGUCUUCUAGAUGGUGUAAAAUCGCGCGGUGCGUUGAUAUCUCUAUGUAAUCCUGACAUGUGGGCCUUUCUUCCUUAUUUCCUGAUAACCCCCUGCAGAAAUAGACAAACACCAAAACUCGUGGAAUUCUGUCAGAUAAAAUCCUAAGUCUAGAUGUUGAUUUCAUUUGGAUCCUUUUCUUUGUUUAUUUGAUAAUUAAAUUUGAUACUUAAGGACCGUCAACAGGGGUGCUCUCCCCCAAGCUGAAUUUUGACGUAAUUUCUCUUGAUGCAGCUAGCAGGUGGCAGAGGUGUAUUUGAAAGUCAGCAGCAUUCUGACAGCGAUUAGAAUGUCCUCCGUCUGCUAGUCUUCUUGAUUCUUGAAUUCUGUGGAGCUCAAAUAGACAACAAAGCUUGUGGAACUGAUUAAGUGUUAGCAUAAAUAUCUAGCCUUUAUCAUGUUGAGUCUCCUUAAUAAUUAUUACUCUCUAUUUUUUUAUAUUUUCAUUUUAUAAAGCAGAAAAGAAAUAUUUAUUUUAUUUUUAUGCCACCACAGUGAUGUACUUACGGUUUUCAUGCCACUCGUAUACUCACAUGGGGCUUACUGUUUUUUCACAUUUUUUUAUUUUCUUUUUAGGAUAGUAUGAACUUAAUUAACUAAGUGGACUAUUUGAAAUAAUUGAAAGGGAAAGGAUAACUACCAAGUUUACCUCUUGGCAAGGCGUUUGAUGUUUUUAAGUCCUCCGAACGGGACUCUCCAUUUUCUCAAUUGUCCCGGGAUUCGUUGGAUGGCGGAGUCGGUACUUCCGGCGGCGCCUCCUCUUCAUGUAUAGUUAUAUUCUCUUUCCAUACCUGACUCGGUGCUAUGGUCUCCUCUAGAUAAUUCUGUUUAAACUCUACGUCUUCUGACCUUACCACUUCUCCUUCAUAGUCUGCCCAUCCAUCCUUGAUGAUCUGCCUCCUCUGGUUGCGGUUGCGUCGUUUUCUAACCUGCUUAGAUUCUUCAAAGAUGUAGUUAGGGUCAGUAAAAUAACGGCGUACCUUCUCUGAGGGGAAGUGCAUAUGGACUUCUCCGGUUCCAAUGUAGAUGAUUGCUUUAACGGUGCUGAGGAACGGUCUUUCAAGGAUGAUGGGUGGAUCGUACUCGUCUUCUCCCAUGUCAACAACCUGAAAGUCUAUGUAGACAAAGUGAUCGUCUAUCUUGACAGGGACAUCAGUUACUGUUCCUUUAACUUCUCGAAACGUCUGAUCUGCCAUCUGGAGCUGAAUGUAUAUUGGUUUUAGGGGCAUGGUUCCGAACAAGAGCCGAUAGGUGACUGCGGCUAUUAUGUUGACGCCCGAUCCGGUGUCGCAAGUCGUCUUGUAGAAGUUGUAUCCAUUUAUGGAGCAAUAGAUGCUUGGCAUUCCUGGGUCAUCCUUCUUGGUCAGAAACGGUGACUUAAGUUGGUGAUCUUGGCCUCCAUGAACUGCAGUGACCAUCUUAGCUGAUUCGGUCCACACUUGCUUGUUCCUGUUCCUCCUGUUGGUCCUCUUCCUUGAUUCACGUUUGGAUUGAUCUGGGAUUUGUGUAGUCUUAUUCCUGAAGAAAAAUGUCUCCUUCCUCCCUUUGAUGUAGAAACUGAUCUUGGCAGCACUGGCGUAGAUGACAGCUCCUCCGGUGUUUAAGAAUGGCCUCCCUAAGAUGAUAGGUGCCCUCUCAUCAUUGCCGGUCUCUACCACUACGAAGUCUGCCGGGGCGUACAAGGUACCAACUCGGACACAAGGUUCUUCAAUAUUCCUUUUGGAAAACUUAUCGCCUGAUCUGCAAACUACAAACAAAUGGUUGUUUCUAAUAAAGGAUAUGCAAAGAAUUUUUCAUAGAGUACCCUAGGUAUAUUGUUGACACUAGAGCCAAAGUCGUAGAGUGCUUCUGGGACGUCCACCAUGCCGAUGGAGAUCGAGAUGACGGGGCGUCCUGGAUCUCCUCUCUUGACCGGUAGAAGGUCAGUAGUGAAUUCAGUGACGGGAUUACUCCAGUUAUUACCUGCAUCAAACAUGUCUACAAGAUUUGCAGAUUCUAAUCCUUCCGGUUGUGAUGGUAUACCGGGGUUAGUAGCAGGAACAGCAGCAGCUAUUUGAUUUAACUGAGAUUCAAUCAUUUUAUUAAAGCUAAUUUGAUUCUUGAUGGCAGUAGAGAAAUUAUCCAUUCUAUUAUUUAUAUUUUCUAACAUUUUAUCAUUAG